CUGACAAGCAGCACAAUGAUGAUGUCACUGAUUCUACUGCUGGGAACACUGGGACUCCUUGUUCAGGAAUCAUCAGCAGAUAUAAUUCUCACCCAGUCUCCUAAAUCUCAGUCUGUUAGUCCAGGAGAGUCCGUCUCUAUCAGCUGUACAGCCAGUUCAGAUAUUAGUGGUUAUCUCAACUGGUACCUGCAGAAACCUGGAGAAGCUCCUAAACUCCUGGUUUAUUAUGCUACAAACCGUCAGUCUGGGAUUCCAGGUCGUUUCAGUGGGAGUGGAUCUUCUACUCAAUUCACUCUGACCAUCAAUGGAGUCCAGGAAGAAGAUGCAGCAGAUUAUUACUGUCAGCAGCAAAACAGUUAUCCGUUCACACAGUGUUAGAACGUCGUACAAAAACCUCCUUCAGCUAAAGAGGAACUGUUCUGACUCAACAGCUGCAGAGCUACAGAUUCUCCCGUAUUCUAAAGUAUUCUAAACACAAAUUCUUCAAAAUAUAUGACUCUACAAUAAUGUAAUUGGUUAGACUUGUCUAUGGACUAUGAUAACGCACAUCUCUCUCAAUAUAUUCUGCAAAAAUGUUACAUCUUUGUUUAACAC